ACGGGAGGCAGCAGUGGGGAAUAUUGGGCAAUGGGGGCAACCCUGACCCAGCAACGCCGCGUGAAGGAAGAAGGCUUUCGGGUUGUAAACUUCUUUGACGAGGGACGAACCAAAUGGCGGUACCUCGAAAACAAGCCACGGCUAACUACGUGCCAGCAGCCGCGGUAAUACGUAGGUGGCGAGCGUUGUCCGGAUUUACUGGGUGUAAAGGGCGCGUAGGUGGGUGUGCAAGUCAAAUGUGAAAUACCAAGGCUUAACCUUGGGGCUGCAUUUGAAACUGUGCAUCUUGAGUAUCGGAGGGGCAAGCGGAAUUCCUAGCGUAGCGGUGAAAUGCGUAGAUAUUAGGAAGAACACCGGUGGCGAAGGCGGCUUGCUGGACUGUAACUGACACUGAGGCUCGAAGGCGUGGGGAGCAAACAGGAUUAGAUACCCUGGUA
rnacentral:rRNA from 1 species